CCUACGGGAGGCAGCAGUGGGGAAUUUUGGACAAUGGGCGAAAGCCUGAUCCAGCAAUGCCGCGUGAGUGAAGAAGGCCUUCGGGUUGUAAAGCUCUUUUGUCAGGGAAGAAACGGUGAGAGCUAAUAUCUCUUGCUAAUGACGGUACCUGAAGAAUAAGCACCGGCUAACUACGUGCCAGCAGCCGCGGUAAUACGUAGGGUGCAAGCGUUAAUCGGAAUUACUGGGCGUAAAGCGUGCGCAGGCGGUUUUGUAAGUCUGAUGUGAAAUCCCCGGGCUCAACCUGGGAAUUGCAUUGGAGACUGCAAGGCUAGAAUCUGGCAGAGGGGGGUAGAAUUCCACGUGUAGCAGUGAAAUGCGUAGAUAUGUGGAGGAACACCGGAUGGCGAAGGCAGCCCCCUGGGUCAAGAUUGACGCUCAUGCACGAAAGCGUAGGGGAGCAAACAGGAUUAGGAUACCCUGGUAGUCCACGCCCUAAACGAUGUCUACUAGUUGUCGGGUCUUAAUUGACUUGGUAACGCAGCUAACGCGUGAAGUGACCGCCUGGGGAGUACGGUCGCAAGAUUAAAACCGCAAAUUGAAAUUGACGGCGNGAGAGNGCGACGGACGACGACGAGGGAGAGG
rnacentral:rRNA from 1 species